rnacentral:rRNA from 1 species
GACGAACGCUGGCGGCAUGCCUAAUACAUGCAAGUCGAGCGAACAGAUGAAGUGCUUGCACUUCUGACGUUAGCGGCGAACGGGUGAGUAACACGUAAGGAAUCUACCUAUAAGCGGGGGAUAACAUUCGGAAACGGGUGCUAAUACCGCAUAAUAUCUUCUUCCGCAUGGAAGAAGAUUGAAAGACGGCUCUGCUGUCACUUAUAGAUGACCUUGCGGUGCAUUAGUUAGUUGGUGGGGUAACGGCCUACCUAGACGAUGAUGCAUAGCCGACCUGAGAGGGUGAUCGGCCACAUUGGGACUGAGACACGGCCCAAACUCCUACGGGAGGCAGCAGUAGGGAAUCUUCCGCAAUGGGCGAAAGCCUGACGGAGCAAUGCCGCGUGAGUGAAGAAGGCCUUCGGGUCGUAAAACUCUGUUAUAAGAGAAGAACAAAUUGUAGAGUAACUGCUACAGUCUUGACGGUAUCUUAUCAGAAAGCCACGGCUAACUACGUG